rnacentral:misc_RNA from 1 species
GUUCGAGCGUCAUUACACCACUCAAGCCUGGCUUGGUAUUGGGCGACGGGACAGCUCCCGCGCCUCUAAUUGAUCGGCUGGACGGUUCGAAUCUCAGCGUUGUGGUCUCAUCAAAUCGCUGGCGAGGACGACCGGACGCGCCGUUAAACCCUCUAUCAAAGGUUGACCUCGGAUCGGGUAGGGAUACCCGCUGAACUUAA